rnacentral:rRNA from 1 species
UAGGGAAUCUUCGGCAAUGGACGAAAGUCUGACCGAGCAACGCCGCGUGAGUGAAGAUGGUUUUCGGAUCGUAAAACUCUGUUGUUAGAGAAGAACAAGGACGUUAGUAACUGAACGUCCCCUGACGGUAUCUAACCAGAAAGCCACGGCUAACUACGUGCCAGCAGCCGCGGUAAUACGUAGGUGGCAAGCGUUGUCCGGAUUUAUUGGGCGUAAAGCGAGCGCAGGCGGUUUCUUAAGUCUGAUGUGAAAGCCCCCGGCUCAACCGGGGAGGGUCAUUGGAAACUGGGAGACUUGAGUGCAGAAGAGGAGAGUGGAAUUCCAUGUGUGGCGGUGAAAUGCGUAGAUAUAUGGAGGAACACCAGUGGCGAAGGCGGCUCUCUGGUCUGUAACUGACGCUGAGGCUCGAAAGCGUGGGGAGCAAACAGG